CUGCCUGUCUCCACCAUGGGCUCCAGCCUCCUCUGCUGUGUGGUCCUCUGCCUCCUGGGAGCAGCCCCCCUGGACACAGCAGUUUCCCAGACUCCCAAAUACCUCAUCGCACAGAUGGGAACUGAGAAGUUCCUACAAUGUGAACAAAAGCUGAGCCAUGAUGCUAUGUACUGGUAUAAGCAGGAUUCUAAGAAAUUGCUGAAGAUCAUGUUUGCCUACAAUAAUAAGGAACUCAUUCACAAUGAAACAGUUCCAAGUCGUUUCUCACCUAAAUCUCCUGACAAAGCUCGUUUAAACCUUCGUGUCAGCGCCCUGGAGACAGGUGACUCUGCCGUGUAUCUCUGUGCCAGCAGCCAACACAGCGUUGCAGAGUCACUGCCUCCCUGUGCACAAACCCCCUGGUCCAGCCAGGAAGCUGCGGAAGGGGCUAUAUCUUGA